rnacentral:misc_RNA from 1 species
GCAAACUUGGUCAUUUAGAGGAAGUAAAAGUCGUAACAAGGUCUCCGUUGGUGAACCAGCGGAGGGAUCAUUAUAGAGUUAUCUAAACUCCCAAACCCAUGUGAACUUACCUCAUGUUGCCUCGGCGGCUGCUUGCCCUUGACCCGGGAGUAACUACCCGGUAGUCAGGGGUCAUCGCCGCCGGCGGCCCAGCAAACUCUGUUUUAUUUUGGAACUCUGAAUAUAAAACUUAAUAAGUUAAAACUUUCAACAACGGAUCUCUUGGUUCUGGCAUCGAUGAAGAACGCAGC